UACGUAGGGUGCGAGCGUUGUCCGGAAUUAUUGGGCGUAAAGGGCUCGUAGGCGGUUUGUCGCGUCGGGAGUGAAAACACUGGGCUUAACUCAGUGCUUGCUUCCGAUACGGGCAGACUAGAGGUAUUCAGGGGAGAACGGAAUUCCUGGUGUAGCGGUGAAAUGCGCAGAUAUCAGGAGGAACACCGGUGGCGAAGGCGGGUCUCUGGGCAAUAACUGACGCUGAGGAGCGAAAGCGUGGGGAGCGAACAGG
rnacentral:rRNA from 1 species